rnacentral:tRNA from 1 species
GCGAUCGUGGCGAAGUGGUUAACGCAUCGGUUUGUGGUACCGACAUUCGAGGGUUCAAUUCCCUUCGGUCGCCCCA